GGCCAAGGCAGGAAGACUGCUUGAGGCCAGGAGUUUGGGACCAGCCUGGACAACAUAGUAAGACCCGUCUCUACAAAAAUAAAAACAAAAAAAUUCCACACACAAAAACUACAGCAACAAUAGAGAAAUAUGAUGAGCCGCAGCUCAACAGGGCAAGUCAGCAAUGGAAGAGACCAAAGCCUUGGGGAGCCCAGAUGGAGAGAGCAAGAGAAGGCUCCGGGUCUCUGAUGGACAACGGCUGCACCUGAGCCAGGUGUGCUCAGACAGGCCUUCAGAGAAAAGACUGAGGUUCCCUAAGAAGGAAGGAAUUCUGCCCCCACACUGCCUUUGAAUUGGGACUCACGCUGCACCGCAUCAUCAUCUCUUGCUAGAAUUUCCAGACUGCCCUGCAAAUUUCAGACUUGCCAGUCUCAAUUCUUAAAAUAAAUCUCUCCCUCUCUCA
rnacentral:antisense_RNA from 1 species